UAAACAGAAAGAUCGAAGACAGCACAGCUGUCUUUUUUGUUGACUCAAUAGUCUACUUGGUUUCAGGACUAGGGUUCUUAGUAUGUUAAGAAGAUAUUUAGCUCCUCAGAGUUGAAUUCAGUUCCCUCAACACAGGCAUCUGUUGACAUUUGACAAGCCCUUGGGUAUCAGACCGGACUCACAGCUGCUUCUCCAGAAGGGCAGGAGGCAUGGGAU
rnacentral:lncRNA from 1 species